GAUGAACGCUAGCUACAGGCUUAACACAUGCAAGUCGCGGGGCAGCAUUUUCUUAGCUUGCUAAGGAAGAUGGCGACCGGCGCACGGGUGAGUAACGCGUAUCCAACCUUCCCAUGUCCACGGGAUAGCCCGUCGAAAGGCGGAUUAAUACCGUAUGAGGUCACAUGCGGGCAUCUAAGUGUGACGAAAGGUUUGGCGGACAUGGAUGGGGAUGCGUCCGAUUAGCUAGUUGGCGGGGUAACGGCCCACCAAGGCGACGAUCGGUAGGGGUUCUGAGAGGAAGGUCCCCCCACAUUGGAACUGAGACACGGUCCAAAACUCCUACGGGAGGCAGCAGUGAGGAAUAUUGGUCAAUGGACGUAAGUCUGAACCAGCCAAGUAGCGUGCAGGAUGACGGCCCUAUGGGUUGUAAACUGCUUUUAUGCGGGGAUAAAAGUGGGCCACGUGUGGCCUUUUGCAGGUACCGCAUGAAUAAGGACCGGCUAAUUCCGUG
rnacentral:rRNA from 1 species